AGAGUUUGAUCAUGGCUCAGGACGAACGCUGGCGGCGCGCCUAACACAUGCAAGUCGAACGAGAGAGAGGGAGCUUGCUUCCUUGAUCGAGUGGCGAACGGGUGAGUAACGCGUGAGGAACCUGCCUCAAANAGGGGGACAACAGUUGGAAACGACUGCUAAUACCGCAUAAGCCCACGACCCGGCAUCGGGAAGAGGGAAAAGGAGCAAUCCGCUUUGAGAUGGCCUCGGCGUCCGAUUAGCUAGUUGGUGAGGUAACGGCCCACCAAGGCGACGAUCGGUAGCCGGACUGAGAGGUUGAACGGCCACCAUUGGGACUGAGACACGGCCCAGACUCCUACGGGAGGCAGCA
rnacentral:rRNA from 1 species